UAUUUUGGGUGAUCGCUAUAUUUUAAUAUAGAGGAAAGUCCAUGCUCACACAAUCUGAGAUGAUUGUAGUGUUCGUGCUUGAUGAAACAAUAAGUCAAGGCAAUCAAUGAUUGACGGCAGUGAAAAAACCUAAGUCAUAUGAUAUGGUUUAAGUAAUUGUAAAGUGCCACAGUGACGUAGCUUUAUUAGAAAUAAUAAAGGUGGAACGCGGUAAACCCCUCGAGUGAGCAAUCCAAAUUCGGUAGGAGCACUCGUCUGAUGGAAAUGAACGUACAGAUGAGGGAAAGUAGAUUUACUUUCCAGACAGAUGAUUACCACCUAAGUACCAGUGCAACUAGUACACGUUAUGAGUACAAAGGAACAGAACAUGGCUUACAGAA
rnacentral:RNase_P_RNA from 1 species